rnacentral:lncRNA from 1 species
AUGACAGAGAUGGACAAGAGGACAGUUUCUCUGCUGAACUUCCUGGCGACCCACAGGAUAUUCUCCUCCCCCGGAGGCCGCGAGUGUGUCCUGAGGAUGCCGGUGAGACUGGCUCUGGCCGGCAGCCCAGGGAAACGUAGCCAGAAGCUGUCAUCCAGGGAGGACCUUAGAGCAUUUGUGACAUGGCUGGACCGUGUUGAACUCUACUGUAGACGUGGCAGUCUGGGUAGUGACUGUCUAGAAACCCCACAGUCACACUCGGGUGGCUUUCCACACCAGCAAAGCAGUUCAAGGCGCACAUGCAAAGCAGCCCAGGUGUACCAGGCCAACGACCCAGCUCUGAGGUGCAAAUCGGCUGUUGUCACAGAGCGCGCGGGUCUCCAAACCCCUGUGUCUUGUCCUGCAGCCAACAGCGGGGGCCGCGGCGAGCCUCUUUGUGUACAGAAACCACUUCUUCAAUCACCAAAAGGAUUUUUCAGGUCUCAGAGAUCUUGGCUGGGGACCGACUGCACCCACUGCAGAUGUCCGGACGGAGCUCCUGAACAGGAGGGCAGGCACCGGAAGUCAGCCUACACGAGGGAGAGUGGCUCUGCUAGGGAUGCGCACGGCUGUCACUCAUGUGUGCUUCCCUCGGUUGUCUUUCCCUGGCCGUGUCUGAGUUCGGAUAUGCUGCUGACUCAGAAUAGAUACCUGGAAAUUGAUUUUAGUUCUGAACCUCUUUUCCCCCUCCCAAGAUAAAGAUAACAGCUUUCUGGGAUUUUAUUUUAACCAUUUUCUGAAGAAAAAACAGGUAAUGUAAUGAUCAAAACAGAGGGGUACAUAGUUUAAAAAUUUAAAGGCACAGAUAAAUGUGAAUCAUAGAUUAUAAGACAGAAUGGAAAAAUCAUGUUAUGAAUAAUAAAGUUACUCAAAAUGGUCCAAAAUGUGUUUUUAUGUCAUUUUAGGGGUAGAAAACAAACAUGGAUUGUACAUACAUUAGUGUGGAAUAUUAAGUAUUUCUGAUAUUAAAUUGAUGUGUUAACAGUGCUAUGUUUACAAAUCACAAUCCAAUGCUAUUAAUUGUUCAGUAGUUUGGGUUAGGUUUCACUACUAUAAAUAAUGUUCCAAUAUAUAUGUUUCUGCAUGCUACUUUUAACAUAAUUAAAAAUAGUUUUAGUGCAUUAGUUUUGCAAUACAAUUUUCUGGAACAAAUAAACCCCCAAAUUCAGUGAUUUAACCUAGUAAGUUUUUAUUUUUCAUACAUGCGAUAGCCUAGUUCUUUUUCUAUUUAGUGGGUAGUUUUCCCCCAGUAGUGAUAAGGGGAUUUAGGGCCAGAAACGUGCACACACAAAAUUUCCUGAUGAUUAGUGAUGUUCAACAUUUUUUCAUAUGUUUGUUGGCCAUUUGUCUAUCUUCUUUUGAAAAAUGUUUGUUCAUGUCUUUUGCCCACUUUUUAGGGUUUUCCCCCCCCCCAAGAGUUUGUUUGAGUUCUUUGUAGAUUUUGGAUAUUAGUCCUUUGCUGGAUGUAUAGUUUGUGAAUAUUUUCUCCCAUUCUGUUGGUUUAUUUAUUAUCUUUAAUAUUUCUUUUGAUAUUUAGAGCUUUUUAGUUUAAUUACAUCCCAUUUGUUUUUGUUUUUGUUUUAUUUAUGAGCUCUAGCCAUAAAUUCUUUGCUUGGGCCAAUGUCAAGAAUAGUUUUUCCUAGGUUUUCUUCUGGAAUUUUUACGGUUUCAGAUCUUACACUUAAGUCUUCAAUCCAUCUUGAGUUAAUUUUUGUAUAUGGUGAGAGAUAGGGAUCCAGUUUCAUUCUUAUGAAUGUUGAAAUCCAGUUUUUCCAGCACCAUUUAUUGAAUAGGGUCUCCUUUCCCCAGCGUAUGUUUUCUUCUGCUUUGUUGAAUAAGUUUGUUGUAGGUUUAAGGUGUUGUUUCUGUGUUCUCUAGUCUGUCCAUUGAUCAAUGUGUCUACUUUUUAUACCUUAUUCCUUAUUUUUAAUUCCAUUGAUGCGGAGGUUCUGGACUGAUGGACACAGCUGAAUCUGUUAUGCAAACACUUUUGGUUUGGGUUCCACACACUGACUUUCAGGCUAUAAAACUUGGUUAACUCAAGAGAUUUUCACACAAAAUUUAAAUUUUAGACUUCUCAAAAAAUUGAAGUCUAGGCUUGCAUCCUGCACACCAGGGGUUAGCAGGAGCUGAUCACACGCCCUGAGCAUGCGUGCUCCGUGCUCCACAUGGUCAGGGUUUCAGAGACCCCCCAUUCUCGCUGCCGUUGAGUCCGUUGCUACAUCUCAUCACACUGGGACUGUUGCUUUUCUUAGCUUAUUUCACUCAUUUCGGUUAUUGUCCUGGCCCUUAGAGUCAUUUGAAUUCAUGAUAGCUGGACUAGGGGGUAACUUCGAGUUUUCGACCUUUGUUCCUCUAUUUGUCAGAGCCAAAAGUGAAACAAUGUCUUCUUAUGCAUAACUUUUUGAAACACGAUGUGUAACAGAAGCCAUUAUAUGUUUUACACAAUGACAAGCAGACGCAUGUACUCAUAUGCGUUUUACAGCAAGCUUUUUGUUCUUUAUUGUUCAUACCAAGUGCUGAGGUUUAAUUGCACACAUUAUAAAAUGUAUCCCUUUAAAGGUAGAGAUUGAUGAAUACUGUUCAAUGUACAUAAUCACGUAACUACCACAAUCAAGAUAUAGAAAAUUUCAUCACCUACGACACUUGUCUCAUGCCCCUACACAGUCAAUCCAUUCUGCCCACACCUAGUCACUGGCAUCACUUACAUGUUUUCUGUUCCUUUGGUUUUGCUUUUUCUAGGUCCUAUAAACUCUAUCAGACAGUAUGUAUUUCUAUUUCUACUUUCAUUUGGCAUAAUGCUUUUGUGAUACUUCCAUGUUGUUACAUGUAUUCUGGAAUUUGUUGCUUUUAUUGCUGAAUCGCAGCCCACUGCACAGGGUACCAAUUUUAGUUUAUCCACUCAUCAAUGAUGGAUGUUUGGGUUGUUUUAAAUAUUUUUUUACCAUGAGUAAUUAAACUGCUAUUGAGCAUCCAUAUACCAAUCUUUGUGUGAACACCUGCUUUGAUUUUCCUGGCUGAAUAUCUAAGAAUGGAAUUUAUAAUGGAAUGGGUCAUAUUUUAAGUGUAUAUUUAACUUUAUAAGAAACCCCCAAACUAAUUUUUUAAUGUGGUUGUAUCAUUUUGCAUUCUCACAAGAGUUGCUCUAGUAGGAAAUGGUGUCUCAUUGUGAUUUUUAUUUGCAGUGCUCUGAUGACUGAGGAGAAUGAGAAUUUUUCAUGUAGUCAUUUAUCCUUUGUAUAUCUUCUUUGGUGAAGAGUCUGUUCAAACCCUUUGCCCAUUUUUAUGAUGAUUUUUUUCUUAUUGAUACUGAGUUGUAAGUGUUUUUUAUAUAUUUGAGAUACAAAUUCUUUAACAUUUAUUUUGUAAAUGUUUUCUUCCAUUUAGUCUGAGGCUAAUGUUUAUAUUCUUUAUAAAUUUUUCUGCUCUUUUGAAGAGCAGAAGUUUUGAAUUUUGAUGACGUAUAAUUCAUCAAAUUUUUUUUAGUUAGGGUCUUGCUAUAUUGCCCAGGCUGGUCAUGAAGUCCUGGCCUCAAGCAAUCCUCCCACAUCAGCCUCCUCAGUGGCUGAGCCUGUGUGCAUAGGCCACCACACCUGGCUAUUUUUUCUAUUACGGUUUUUGCUUAUUGUAUCCCAAGAAAGUUGUGAUUAGUUCAAGAAAACAAAUUUGUUAUCAUAUGUUUUAUUGAAGAAAUUUUGUAUACUUAGCUUUUACACUUAGGUUUAUGUUUUAUUUCAUGUUAAUGUUUGUAUGUAGCAUGUGUGGUAAGGACUGGAGAUCAUUUUAUUCAUACGGAUAUUUAGUUUUUCCUGAAUUGUUGUUAAAGAGAAUGUCUUUUUUCUACUAAAUGCUUGGCAUCAUUGCCAAAUAUCAGUCAACUCUAUAUGUGCGAGCCUAUUUUUAGAAUAUGUAUUUUGUUCUCUUGAUGUAUGUAACUAUCCUUAAGCCAACACCUCACUCUUUUGAUAGCUGAAGCUUUACAGUAAAUACAAUCAGGUAGUGCAAGGCCUGUCAUUUUGUUCUGCUUUUUAAGUAUUAUUUUGGCUGUUCUAGAUUGUUUGCUUUUCUACAUUAAUUUAAAAUUCAGCUUUUAAAUUUCUAUUUUUAAAAAGCUGCUAUUUCUUCUGAUGGGGAUUACUUUGAAUCUACAGCUAAACCUAGGAGAGCUGACAAUAUUGAAUUAACAACAUUGCAUCUCUUGACUAUAAACGUCGUAUAUAUUAUUAAUCUGGGCCUUAAUUUUUCUCAGCAAUAGUUUGUAAUUUUCAGUAUUCUACUGCAGUUCCUUAAAGACUAUAUUAUUUUGUGCUCAUUUGAAGACUUGUCUAAUAUUACUCUUCAAUUACAGUCAAUAUUUUAAAAAAUCCUUUCUCUGAUUUUUCUCUCUAUUUAGUCUUUGGGCAGGAGGAUCAUAUCCCUGUGGAUAGGCGGUGGUGAUGAGAAAAAGCAUGACAUCAAACAUAUUUUGAAAAUAGUGCUGAUAAUAUUUAGUGAUAGAGAGGGUCUACAAACAAGUAAAGAAUAAAAAUUUUGUCCUAAGGAACUGUGCAGUUGUUUAUGAUGUUUACUGCCAUGGGUGUCCAUCUAUCAGUUAGGCUGUGGUUAUGGACAACAAAUUUUUCUAAUUAUUUAAAACAUGAACUGAU